UUUUUUUAAUUAUAUUUUUAUCCAGGGAGUGACUUGUUCACACGGUGACUCGGUGCCUCUUCCCCUCCGCUUUCUUUUCGGGUACAGCUCCCGCCGGCAGUCCCCGUGGCGAGUGGCCAUCCAUGCAGAGCCGCGAGGCACCGCGCUGCGGAGCAGCACCGUGAGCGGUGUGCGGCCGCCGAGCCCACGCGUGGCCGGAGCAGCAUUUUAUCUAUCUCCCAGCAAAGCAGAUGGAGGUAGGGAUGGCGAAGCAUUGCUCCGCACCGGCGCUCUCAGUGCCGGUGGUGAUGACCGGGGCGGUCGCGCAGCAUCUCCUUCCUCCUCCCGGCCGGAGAUCUCCCCCGCGGGCCCUGCGCGGCGGGGAGGGGAAAGCGCAGCUUCCCCGCUCCGGGUUUUAUGGACGAGCAUCAGCACAGCCCCCCCGGUACCGCCGAUUCCCGCAGCCAGGCACCGGGCUGGAGGCCCGCACAGCACCCCCGCCGCACUUAGCCCCCCGACCCGCCGCUCCCGAGCAGCAUGCGCAAGGCAGCCCCCCCACCCUGCAACCUACCUGAGGGAGAGGCCAAAAACUUUGCUGGCAUCAGCCAGCGCCGGCACAGGAGACCCCCCGGGCAAUCUGCGCUCUUUUCCCCCACUCCCGAACUCGCUGCCCGUACAAGCCAGGAGGUGUCCCCAGUCCCCGCCGCCCCUGGGCUUUCCGCAUCUCAGGUCCCACCCGGGAGAAGCCGACCUUGCCGCGACUGUCCUGAGAAUUAAGGGACCCCGGGCUGACGGCUGAGCUCUCUGCCCGAAGCAAGCCCCUUUUUCUCCCCAGCCCUGCGGUGCUGUCUCUAAUUGGGCCGGGGCGAGAGGAGGCUCGCAGAAUUGGGCAGGAGGCAGGGCUCUGCCAAGCACGGCUGCUUUAAUUGGCUCCCUUUUUCUUUUUUUUAACUGAAGAGGGAUGAAAUGGUGAAGAGGGGAGGGGAAAACCUGGAAAGGCAAAGGGGAGGAAAUCACGGCGCGCCCGGCAGAGCGACAGGCAGGGACGGUGAGGCAGCCGUGGGCCCGCCCGGCCGGUGGGGCAGUAGCGAAGCCGUGCGGGGGCCGGCGGAGCGGAGCGCCCCCGGGCUGGCCGGGGAGCGGUGACGCGCCAGGCAACUUUUACAGGAGACUUUGGUGCUUCGGGGAAAGGCAGUGGGGCAGGGACCUGCCAAGCGGUUUCCAGCCAGCGUCUGGCAGGAGUAACCUAACUUUCUGUAGCUUCUUGUCCCUCCUCGGCGGCCCCUCCCAGCUGCGGCCCCUGUUAGUUCCCACCGGGAGCUCCGGCAGCCGCGUCGACGCGCGGACCCCUCCAGAGUCACAAAUCAUCUGCGAGGCGGGAGGAGCAGGCAAGCAGCGGAGGCGAAGCACCCACCCGAAACCGGCACACAACAUAAGAGAAAGUUUUGAAGGGAGAAGGACCUGUCAGGCUGGGGAGGAGGCGAAGAGAGCCGGGCUGAGCCGCAGGCGGAGCGAGGGUGCGUGCUCUGGCUGCUCCUCGCUUGCUUCUCCCUUCAGGCUGGCUGGGGCGAUGCAGUGCAGCUGGGGGAGCUCUUGGGAGCCGAUCUAAAAGGAAAAAAAAAACCUUCUUGGAUUUGAUUAAUUACAACAAUCCCCUCCCCAGAAGAUCAGGAAAAGAGGAGAGAGCAUCACCUAUCCCUCCCUCCGCCUUUCAGCAACUGGGUCCUACCCCCACCCUUCCUUCCCCCC
rnacentral:lncRNA from 1 species